ACUCCUACGGGAGGCAGCAGUGGGGAAUAUUGCACAAUGGGGGAAACCCUGAUGCAGCCAUGCCGCGUGUGUGAAGAAGGCCUUCGGGUUGUAAAGCACUUUCAGUAGGGAGGAAGGUAGUGUAGUUAACACCUGCAUUAUUUGACGUUACCUACAGAAGAAGCACCGGCUAACUCCGUGCCAGCAGCCGCGGUAAUACGGAGGGUGCGAGCGUUAAUCGGAAUUACUGGGCGUAAAGCGCAUGCAGGCGGCCUGUUAAGUCAGAUGUGAAAGCCCGGGGCUUAACCUCGGAAUUGCAUUUGAAACUGGCAGGCUAGAGUCUUGUAGAGGGGGGUAGAAUUUCAGGUGUAGCGGUGAAAUGCGUAGAGAUCUGAAGGAAUACCAGUGGCGAAGGCGGCCCCCUGGACAAAGACUGACGCUCAGAUGCGAAAGCGUGGGGAGCAAACAGGAUUAGAUACCCUGGUAGCACAGA
rnacentral:rRNA from 1 species